rnacentral:rRNA from 1 species
UACGUAGGGCGCAAGCGUUGUCCGGAAUUACUGGGCGUAAAGCGCAUGUAGGCGGGUCGCAAGUCAAAUGUGAAAGCCCCGAGCUCAACUCGGGAACUGCAUCUGAAACUGCCGGUCUUGAGUACUGGAGAGGGUGGCGGAAUUCCUGGUGUAGAGGUGAAAUUCGUAGAUAUCAGGAGGAACACCGGUGGCGAAGGCGGCCACCUGGACAGUCACUGACGCUGAGAUGCGAAAGCGUGGGGAGCAAACAGG